GAUUUCAAUUGAAAAAGUCAUCAACAACAAAGUUGAAUAACUCAUCAAGAUCUAAAACUUUUAUUUUUGUUAUUUCUUCAUCUGACGAAAUGUUAGUAAUAUUAUUCACAAAUCUUACAUAUAUGUGUUAUAGUUUAUAAAACCAGAUAAGAGAUAUGUCAAUUUUGUGAACAAUGUUACUAUCACUUUGUCGUAUGAAGAAAUGACCAAAAUAAAAGUUUUAGAUCUUGAUGAGUUAUUCAACUUUGUUGUUGAUGACUUUUUCAGUUGAUAUC
rnacentral:pre_miRNA from 1 species